CCGUAGCUCAGUCGGCUAGAGCGCACGGCUGAUAACCGUGAGGUCACAGGUUCGAACCCUGUCGGGCC
rnacentral:tRNA from 1 species